rnacentral:rRNA from 1 species
GACGAACGCUGGCGGCGUGCCUAAUACAUGCAAGUAGGACGCAGUUGCGAACGGGUGAGUAACGCGUAGGUGACUACCUAUUAGAGGGGGAUAACUAUUGGAAACGAUAGCUAAUACCGCCUACUAGUAGAUGGACCUGCGUUGUAUUAGCUAGUUGGUAGGGUAAUGGCCUACCUAGGCAACGAUACAUAGCCGAGCUGGGGGGGUGAUCCACCCACAUUGGACUGGGACACGGGCCAGACUCCUACGGGAAGCAGCAGUAGGGGAUCUUCGGACAUGGGGGGAACCCUGACCGAGCAACUGCGCGUGAGUGGAGAAGGUUUUCGGAUCUUAAAGCUCUGUUGUUAAGGAAGCGGUACUUAACCAGAAAGGGACGGCUAACUACGUGCCAGCAGCCGCGGUAAUUC